CGGUCAUGGAUGGGCAUGCGGCGCAUUAGGUAGUUGGUGGGGCAACGGCCCACCAAGCCGACGAUGCGUAGGGGUUCUGAGAGGAAGGUCCCCCACAUUGGAACUGAGACACGGUCCAAACUCCUACGGGAGGCAGCAGUGAGGAAUAUUGGUCAAUGGCCGGAAGGCUGAACCAGCCAAGUCGCGUGAGGGAAUAAGGCCCUACGGGUCGUAAACCUCUUUUGCCAGGGAGCAAUGCCGUCCACGUGUGGACGGAAGGAGAGUACCUGGAGAAAAAGCAUCGGCUAACUCCGUGCCAGCAGCCGCGGUAAUACGGAGGAUGCGAGCGUUAUCCGGAUUUAUUGGGUUUAAAGGGUGCGUAGGCGGCCUGCCAAGUCAGCGGUAAAAUUGCGGGGCUCAACCCCGUACAGCCGUUGAAACUGCCGGGCUCGAGUGGGCGAGAAGUAUGCGGAAUGCGUGGUGUAGCGGUGAAAUGCAUAGAUAUCACGCAGAACCCCGAUUGCGAAGGCAGCAUACCGGCGCCCGACUGACGCUGAGGCACGAAAGUGCGGGGAUCAAACAGGAUUAGAUACCCUGGUAGUCCGCACAGUAAACGAUGAAUGCUAGCUGUCCGGGGGGAUUGACCCCUGG
rnacentral:rRNA from 1 species